rnacentral:rRNA from 1 species
GACGAACGCUGGCGGCGUGCUUAACACAUGCAAGUCGAACGGAAAGGCCCUGCUUUUGUGGGGUGCUCGAGUGGCGAACGGGUGAGUAACACGUGAGUAACCUGCCCUUGACUUUGGGAUAACUUCAGGAAACUGGGGCUAAUACCGGAUAGGAGCUCCUGCUGCAUGGUGGGGGUUGGAAAGUCUCGGCGGUUGGGGAUGGACUCGCGGCUUAUCAGCUUGUUGGUGGGGUAGUGGCUUACCAAGGCUUUGACGGGUAGCCGGCCUGAGAGGGUGACCGGCCACAAUGGGACUGAGAUACGGCCCAGACUCCUACGGGAGGCAGCAGUGGGGAAUAUUGCACAAUGGGCGGAAGCCUGAUGCAGCAACGCCGCGUGCGGGAUGACGGCCUUCGGGUUGUAAACCGCUUUCGCCUGUGACGAAGCGUGAGUGACGGUAAUGGGUAAAGAAGCACCGGCUAACUACGUG